rnacentral:lncRNA from 1 species
AGUAGCUGUGAUUACAAACGUGCCACUAUACCCGGAGCUUAUGGUCUUUUCUUAACAUUUCUUGAUGACGAGGAUGGGAUUUGAAGUGGCACCCUUGCUUUUUCCCAACACUAUCUGGACCAAUGCAUUUGCACCUGCAAGAACCCCUUGAGCUCACUUAUCUUCCUGGCUGCACCAGGGAGAAAUGAGAACCUGAAGACCGAAUCCUCUGAGAACAACAGAGAUACUUUCUUGCCAUGUACACUCCAGCAAAAACUUCGGGACCUUGAACUUUGGGUUCAUAAUCUCACAACUGAGAAGGAUUACUCCACACUCAUAGAACUGCACACCCAUUGGAACCCUUAAGGUGAAGCUAACCAGGGAAUUUUCUCCCCAGAAGAAGAAGAUAUUCUUGAUAUGAACAGCUUUUCCCAAAAUCAUGGAUCAAGAUUUCUACUAUUAUAAGACUCUUAUCUUUGAAUAUUUUUCCCUUGCUUAUACCUCUAUGAACAAUAGAAGUGAAAAGAGGGUCUAUUUUGUGCACAUAUGGGUAUACCUUUAUUUGUGAAUAAUUUUGCAGCCAGCCUUAUACAUAGAUAAACUUAUAUCUUGAUAGAUGAAAGAUGAAGGUGCAAUGUAGGUGAGAAACCUUAAUGGUAUAUACAGUGUCACAUAGUUAGAAACAGAACAUUGGUUCACUCCUCCUAACCCACAUCAUGAGUUAAAGAGAACAU